GCGAGAAAGCGUUGCCGCAGGCAACGACCCGAAGGGUGAGGAGCGGAGCGACGAAUAAUCCUUCCCCCACCACCA
rnacentral:sRNA from 1 species